UGCCCCAUGGCUGAGUUGGUUACAGCGUCCGACUGUUAUCAUUCAUUGACUUACAAUCGGAAGGUCGAGAGUUCGAGCCUCUCUGGGGCAG
rnacentral:tRNA from 1 species